rnacentral:rRNA from 1 species
GCGUCAGCAGCCGCGGUAAUACGGAGGGUGCAAGCGUUAUCCGGAUUCACUGGGUUUAAAGGGUGCGUAGGCGGGUAUGUAAGUCAGUGGUGAAAUCCUGGAGCUUAACUCCGAAACUGCCAUUGAUACUAUGUAUCUUGAAUAUCGUUGAGGUUUGCGGAAUAUGUAAUGUAGCGGUGAAAUGCUUAGAUAUGACAUAGAACACCAAUUGCGAAGGCAGCAGGCUAAACGAACAUUGACGCUGAGGCACGAAAGCGUGGGGAUCAAACAGGAUUAGAAACCCUCGUAGUCC